rnacentral:rRNA from 1 species
UACAGGGGGGGCAAGCGUUGUUCGGAAUUACUGGGCGUAAAGGGUUCGUAGGUGGCCCGCUAAGUCACACGUGAAAUCCCUCAGCUUAACUGGGGAACUGCGUGUGAGACUGGCAGGCUUGAGUGCAGGAGAGGAACGCGGAAUCCGGGUGUAGUGGUGAAAUGCGUAGAGAUCCGGAGGAACCCAGAGGCGAAGGCGGCGUCCUGGCUCGCAUCUGACGCUCAGACACGACAGCAUGGGGAGCGAACGGG